rnacentral:rRNA from 1 species
AGAGUUUGAUCCUGGCUCAGGACGAACGCUGGCGGCGUGCUUAACACAUGCAAGUCGAACGAAGCUUGAUUACGGAUUCUUCGGAUGAAGUAUGAUAUGACUGAGUGGCGGACGGGUGAGUAACGCGUGAGUAACCUGCCCUUCAGAGGGGGAUAGCGUUUGGAAACGAACGGUAAUACCGCAUAAUGUAUUUUGACCGCAUGAUCGAAAUACCAAAGAUUUAUCGCUGAAGGAUGGACUCGCGUCUGAUUAGGUAGUUGGUGGGGUAACGGCCUACCAAGCCGACGAUCAGUAGCCGGACUGAGAGGUUGAUCGGCCACAUUGGGACUGAGACACGGCCCAGACUCCUACGGGAGGCAGCAGUGGGGAAUAUUGCACAAUGGGCGCAAGCCUGAUGCAGCAACGCCGCGUGAAGGAAGACGGUUUUCGGAUUGUAAACUUCUGUUCUUAGUGAAGAAUAAUGACGGUAGCUAAGGAGCAAGCCACGGCUAACUACGUGCCAGCAGCCGCGGUAAUACGUAGGUGGCAAGCGUUGUCCGGAAUUACUGGGUGUAAAGGGAGCGCAGGCGGGUGAUCAAGUCAGCUGUGAAAACUACGGGCUUAACCCGUAGACUGCAGUUGAAACUGUUCAUCUUGAGUGAAGUAGAGGUUGGCGGAAUACCGAGUGUAGCGGUGAAAUGCGUAGAUAUUCGGAGGAACACCGGUGGCGAAGGCGGCCAACUGGGCUUUAACUGACGCUGAGGCUCGAAAGUGUGGGGAGCAAACAGGAUUAGAUACCCUGGUAGUCCACACUGUAAACGAUGAUUGCUAGGUGUGGGGGGUCUGACCCCUUCCGUGCCGGAGCUAACGCAAUAAGCAAUCCACCUGGGGAGUACGACCGCAAGGUUGAAACUCAAAGGAAUUGACGGGGACCCGCACAAGCAGUGGAUUAUGUGGUUUAAUUCGAAGCAACGCGAAGAACCUUACCAGCACUUGACAUCCAACUAACGAAAUAGAGAUAUAUUAGGUGCCCUUCGGGGAAAGUUGAGACAGGUGGUGCAUGGUUGUCGUCAGCUCGUGUCGUGAGAUGUUGGGUUAAGUCCCGCAACGAGCGCAACCCUCGCCAUUAGUUGCUACGCAAGAGCACUCUAAUGGGACCGCUACCGACAAGGUGGAGGAAGGUGGGGACGACGUCAAAUCAUCAUGCCCCUUAUGUGCUGGGCUACACACGUAAUACAAU